UCAUUUUAUUUUUUUAAACCAACAGCUAUCUUCAUAAUUCAUAUAUAAGCAUGGUGUGAAAGAUUGCUGAUGAUCCUGAGAAGGAGCAGAGCCAUGUUUCCUAGUUCCAGCUUAUGCCCCUGAUAUGACAACUGAAAAUAAAAGAACGACCCGCAGACGAGGGAGAAAGAGAGCACAUGAGCAGAGGGAGGAGCAGAAGGAUGGAGAGAAGGAAAGAAGCAGACUCCCUGACUCCCAGAUGACCACAGCCCCAUGGAGAGCUCAAUCCCAUGAUCUGAGAUCAUGAACCCUGCAGAAACUAAAGGAUGGUCACCCACCCAACCCACUGAACUACCCAGGCAUCCCGAUUUAUUUUCUAUACAGGACAACUACAGAAA
rnacentral:lncRNA from 1 species